UUCGAAUCAUUUUCCCCCCAAGCAGAAAUGAAUGAACGAGUAGUCUGGAUGCUAUUCAGUUUCAAUGCUGGUUUGAUAAGAAAAAAAAUUACUAUCUAUAGGCAAGGCAUUGAACAAAGGGGAACUAAACAAAUAUACCUUUGGUAGCACGGCGGGUAAUAGGGGGCAUGUAGCCUUAAAUGGCGGCAACCAUACAAGUCAGAUCAACUUGUUUUUUAGCACUCCACGAAGUAUGAAUUUAGACAGCCUACAACGUGUAUCAGAAGUUGGAAAAAAAAUUACAUGCCUUAAAUAGCAUCAGCCAGUGACAUUGAGGAAAAAACACAGUAGUAGAAGAAUAUUAUGGCAACAUGAGUUCAGUUUGCAAUUAAAUAAGGCAAGACAAAAUCCUUGUACGUGAUAUGGAAAACCACAGUAGAAAGCUCUAACUCAAGCUACAAAUCCACCUCCUAUCCAAAUACUAAUAUUCAACCUGCCAUGGUACUAUGAUUUUGCAUAAUCUGCAGCCAUAGAAAUAUUUCUUGCUUGUUUUGUUGAUUCAAAUUCAAUACUGGUAACAACUGAGCUGGAGUAUUUUGCACUAAUUGAUUGAGAUUCAAUAAGCCGCUAAAGUAACCAAGCAGUCAAUGAUAUGCCUGAUCAGGGAUUUAAUCAGUAAUAGUUGGGUUUUAAUUGUUCCCUGGGGAACAGGUCGGAAUUGAGACUAACUAGGACCUUGGAAUUCAAGAAACAUUAUUGUCUGUGCAAUCAUUUGCUAGCUGAUUUACGGCACUGCUUAUUGGCAAACCAUUGGCACUUGGCAGCACAACCCCAAGAUGAGAAGCCACUGCCAACCAGAACAAUAAAAUCUCCAAUGCAAAGUAUGAGAAACAUUAAGCGUAAAAGCACAUAAUUUACAUUUUCAAAAUAAGAUAAAAGGGGAAAACAUACGACAAAAGUAAAUUAGUUUUUUUGGGUAGCAAGCUAAGCAUCAGCAAACAAACAGGUGGGGUGUUGAAUUUCUACUAAGAAGCAGCAAACAACUUGGAUGAAUUGCUCUCAUGUUUAAUAGUAGAGUAGAUUAUACCCUAAAAAUAGCAAAGAUCGAUUGUAAUUUAAACCAUUUAUUUAAUGGAAAGGAAAAAAAAAUGAAAGCCUAUGGAACUAUUUGCAAUCCAGUAAACAAAAUGGAGACUUACCACAAAAGCAAAUUCAAUAGGUAAGGAAUGAGAAUUCCAUCGUACUCUGGUUAUCUGUCAGUGUGAUGUCGAACCGAAAUCAGCAAACGAUGGGAGUGGGUCGACUGACAGAAUCGCAAAUGGGUGAGGAGUUCCUUGAUGCCUCUCGAACUCUCGCAAUGAGUCGGCAUGCCAAAUGUAUGAAAACGUGUGAGGAGCGGGGGAAAGACACAACUCAGUCGGAGAGCU
rnacentral:lncRNA from 1 species